rnacentral:rRNA from 1 species
CGGCAAAGGUGGCCUCUGCUUGCAAGCUAUCGCUUGAGGAGGAGCUCGCGACCCAUUAGGCUGUUGGUGAGGUAAAGGCUCACCAAGCCUGCGAUGGGUAGCCGGCCUGAGAGGGUGGCCGGCCACACUGGCACUGAGAUACGGGCCAGACUCCUACGGGAGGCAGCAGUGAGGAAUUUGGGCAAUGGGCGCAAGCCUGACCCAGCGACGCCGCGUGGGCGAUGAAGGCCUUCGGGUCGUAAAGCCCUGUGAGUCGGGAAGAAGCGGCUUCGUGCCAAUACCACGAAGUUGUGACAGUACCGACAGAGGAAGCCCCGGGCUAACUACGUUGCCAGCAGCC